CAGCCGCCGCGGGAAUACAGAGGAUGCAAGCGUUAUCCGGAAUGAUUGGGCGUAAAGCGCACGUAGGCGGAUACUUAAGUUAGGGGUGAAAUCCCAGGGCUCAACCCUGGAACUGCCUUUAAUACUGGGUAUCUUGAGUUCGAGAGAGGUAAGUGGAAUUCCGAGUGUAGAGGUGAAAUUCGUAGAUAUUCGGAGGAACACCAGUGGCGAAGGCGGCUUACUGGCUCGAUACUGACGCUGAGGUGCGAAAGCGUGGGGAGCAAACAGGAUUAGAUACCCGCGUAGUCCCUGUCUCUUAUAC
rnacentral:rRNA from 1 species